GACAGAGGUGCCGAGCGUUAGGCGGAAUCACUGGGCUUAAAGCGUGUGUAGGCGGACUUCUAAGUACCUUGUGAAAUCCCACGGCUCAACCGUGGAACUGCUUGGUAUACUGGUUGUCUUGAGCCACUUAGGGGCGAGUCGGAACAGACGGUGGAGCGGAUGAAAUGCGUAGAGCUCGUGAGGAAGACCGGUGGCGAAGGCGGAUCUCUGGACGGCCCCUGACGCUGAGGCGCGAAGGCUA
rnacentral:rRNA from 1 species